ensembl:lncRNA
AGUGUUAGCAGAGCACUGCGAAGCGCACUGUGCAGAGCUCUCAUGACUGCACGAAGGAAUUUAUGCAUGCAACUCUCAAACGGCUUUGAUAUAUAACCCCGCAGAAUCAGUGUCAGCGGUGGAUGUUGGUGUAUGGCAGCAGAGGCUGAACCUUCCCACCAAUAUUCCAUUACAUUUUAUUGCUGUACAACAGAUGGCAACAGAGCAGUGGUCUGACAAAAUGGAGUCUGACAUCGAAGGGCGAAUGAAGAAAAGCAAAACCAGGAAGAUAUGUUAGAGAAUCACCAGUCAAUCAUCUUCCCCAGGGCUAGAGAAGCACACCUCAUACCCCCUUCUUUGAAGCAUUCAGGUUCUCUGCUUGAACUGGCUAGGUGAGCCAAGAUUUCAGGCUGACAGCCUUUUUAAAAGGAAUCAAGUUGCUUGUGGAUGCAUGCACAACACAACACCACCACUGCAAAAGCAGAGAACGUUACUCUUCUAAAAACAGCCAGAAGGAAAGAGAACCGCACCUUCAGUUUGUGCAAACAGAGAUAACAUAUCCAGCUUCUGUGCAUAAUAGCAGCACACCAAACCAGAUAAAGAAAGCCAGGCAGGUCAAAUAGACCCAAGUCAAUUUUCCCAGAGAACAUGUGGCAGAACAUGAGGAAAUGGUCUGAAGUUGCAUCACGGAAGUUUUAGAUUGGAUACCAGGAAGAAUUUUUAAAGGCAGAGAGUGGUCAAGCACUGGAAUGGGCUCUUAAAAAAUAACAAUAAUAAAGUUGUUUAAAUAUACUUUUGUAUAGAAUCAAGGCACUGACUUUUGAGAACAGGACCUUCAAGGAAAACUUCAGCUAGUCAUGACUCAAAAGAAGGGCUUGCUAUACAUAUAUUGGAGAGGUUGUCAAUAGCUGGGCUACACAAGGAAAAAAAGUUUUUGUAAAGAACCAGAACUAUUUCAGGGACAAGAAAUAAGCAUUCUGAGGUUGGAAAAGCAAGCCAUCUCACAGUGACAGCUCAGCUUGCUUAUUCUGAGUUUGAGACCUGUCUGGUUAGCUCCUACUAGCAACAUCAAUUACUAGCUCCGGAAAAGUCAAGGAAAAACAUCUCUUCUUGUACUUGGAUGAAUGCGUUUUUAUGUGGGUAAAUUGAUAUGUCUAAAAUCCAGAAACUGGAACUAGUGCAUUGAACUGGAAAAACAUUUUUAGUUGCUCCCUACAGCAGUAAAGACAUUGACUUCAGAAUGAAAAAAAUCAAGAAAUCAUUUUGCAUAAAACUGAUACAGUAAAAUACAAGUUGUGUACCUCUUCCUCUUCUCUUACCCUUUUGUUGUUUACUGCAUGACAGCCCACAUACUCUUCAUAAAAACUUAACACGGAAACAUUGUUCCAAGUGACUUAAGCUACUGGAAGCUUCCUGGUGCCCAUGGGGACUCUGAUUAUUAGAACAGGCAUGAAAAAAAAAAAGGAUGAAAAUGGAACUCAGAAAGCACAGCAACCUCAGGAAAGAAAAGCUGAGAUCUAAUGAGGAAUUGUACCUGUGAAACCUAAUAGCCAGAACAAAAUUAACCAUUCAGGGCAACUCACUCAAAAUAAUUCUUAGAGCAAUUUUAACAGCAGAAGGGCUCCGAACCAUUAUGAAGUGCAGCUAUACGUACAAGUAACAAAUGCAUGAGUUAGUAGACCUGCUCCUCUGUUACAGAUGCCCAGAGGCUAUGGUCAGACAUCCAGGAUAUGAAAAUGGAUACACCAUAUAAUCAAGACCAUAAUGCCCACGGCAUUCACUUCCAUUUAGCCUGCAGGCUUCUGAAAGUACAGGGAAAAGUCUAGUCGAUUAUUGGAACUGGCAUUAUACAAGUAUUGCCAAAGAGAGCAAACUUCUCUAACAUGAUAACGUUACUUUUUAUUUUUCAUGAGUUUGUUGAUUUGCAGUGCAUAAUAUACUGGUCAGAACACAUGGAUUUAUGAUCAAUAAGCUUGUGAGCAAACUCUUCCGUUAUUAAAAAAAAAAGUAUAAUUUUUAUGUGUGGAUCUACACAAAGACUAAAAAUGGAGCGCCAGCAACUUUCUAGGCUGAACUGUAAUAACCUUAAUGCAAAUUCUGCCUGUAUCACUCCGCCUGUUUUCAGCAGAGGUGAGGAUGGGGUCUCACAUGAAAAGGUUUUAUAAAAAUAAAUCACAUCUGCUUAACUACU